rnacentral:tRNA from 1 species
AUAAUGCAAGUUGGAGAUGCACCCUAAAGGUGNCGGGGCUUCUCCCGUUU